GAAACAUUGUGGAUCAACGGUUGGGCAAGUACAAGUGCCUUGACCAAUAUGAGAUGUAAUUAGUCCAAGCACACGCUCAAAUGAAGAUACAACCCUGUUGGAAGCUGGAAAGCUUCUAUCCUUGCCAAUCAGAACAAUUUCCCGAAAUAAGGAAUAUAUAUUUCUUUGAAGAAGAUAGGUAACAGUGCUGCAAGCCCAAGGAAGCCCUAAAUCAAUCAACAAUGUUACUGCAUCCAACAAAAGGAUUGCUGAUGUACAGGACUUCUCAGAUUCCAUAAAAAGUUGAUCUCUUAACUUAUUCCUGUUUCCAUAAACAGCCCGAAUGCAAGCAUGAGCAAAUUUCUUCACUCUAUAUCUCACCAAGGCAGCUUUGGAAGCAUAUUCUGUACCAGCAAAGAGGCUAAUAACAUCCCCGUUAUCUUGAACAAACUCUAGAAGCGAUCGGCAUGUCUCCACAAGGACAGAAACAUCAGCAGUGUAUGUCGGAUUGAAAAAGAAAAGUAGGUGACGCAAAAAGUCUGAAUCUGGACUGAAGCACUGCCUGUCAACAGCGUGGCAGCGUUCCCCAUGAGUUCUCAAGAAAUUCUCGCGAACUUUAGAACGUUCAGUUUCUACCUCCUUUCUACCUCUGAAGCAUUUCUGAAUUUU
rnacentral:misc_RNA from 1 species